GGGCCCAUAGCUCAGUGGU
rnacentral:siRNA from 1 species